CGCCUCCUGAUGAUGCACGGGCUGCACUGCCUGAUGAUACGCUCGAGCGGCUCUGGAGGAAAAGCCGAUCCGAGGCUGUUGGGCAGGUCACUACGGAAUGUUCUAAGGAUGCAAAUCAGAAACUGUAAUUUCUUGUAAUCAGAUUAGCCAGGAUGAAGAGGAGGAGGAGGACGAGGAAGAGGAUUAAGACACAUUGGCUAGAGUUGUCUGGAAAGAGGAACCUCAGUUGAGAAAAUGCCUCCGUCAGAUUGUCUGUAGCCAGAGAUGGAUGGAUCUAAAAUACAGCACAGACACAACACGACUGAUACAUGUAUGAACUCACAAAGACUGUGGCAGCACAUACAAAACCUACACAGGUUCAAGUCAUAUGGAGUCCCAGCACUGAGAGGAGAAGCAGACACAGGCCCCUGCUGCUAAUCAAGAAAUUACCAGCAAUUGAUACUCACUUGUAAAGGGAAAAAUCAGUUUUCUCUAAGUCUCACUGUGUAUAUUAAUCACACUUCAUGGUAGGCCCUGUGCUCAGGAGUAGUUGGCCAACACAAAAUAAACUCAGUACUAUUUUGCAGACAUUUUGUCUCAUAUACCUUUGUUCAGACUUUUUUUUUCUUAUUGGUCUUUUGUUUGCUUAUUUUGACUUCUAUAUUUGUGGGAUUCUGUAUGUGUGUGUGUGUUUCUUUGUUUCUUUGUUUUAAAUAGAAAAAGAAUAUAAAAUUGAGUAGGUAAGACUAGAAUUUGGGAAAAACUGGGGGAAAGAAAAUGAAAACAUGAAAAAUCCUUUAAAUUUAAAUUAAUUAUAAGGAACAAUAUUUAGGAAUAAAUUUAAUGAAUGAAAAAUGUACUAUAUAGCACUAAUAAAUUUUGUAUCAUAAAAAUAGAGACUGGGUUUUUGAGAUACUUGUAUAUUUUAAAGAGAUUAAAUGUCUCAGGGCUUCUCUUGCUGUGAUAAAAUGCCAUGGCCAAAAGCAAGUUGGGAGAACAGGGUCUAUUCCACUUACUCCUUGUAGUCCAGCUCCUAGAGAAGCUAGGACAGGAAGCUAAGAGGAACCUAUAGGCAGGAGCUGAUGCAGAGGCCACAAGGAACCUGCUUACUGGCCCGCUCAGCCUGCUUUCUUAUAGCAUCCAGGACCGAAGGUCUUUCGGUGGCAGUACACCGUGUGGGCUGGGACCACCCGCUUCAACCACGGGUUAAGAAAAUGCCGCAUAGGCCCGAUGACAAACCUAUCCUGUGGAGGCGUCUUCUCAAGAAACUCUAGCCUCUGUCAAGUUGAAAAAAGAAAACCCGCUGGAU